rnacentral:rRNA from 1 species
AGAGUUUGAUCCUGGCUCAGAACGAACGCUGGCGGCGUGCUUAACACAUGCAAGUCGAACGCGAAAGUUUCUUUCGGGAAACGAGUAGAGUGGCGCACGGGUGAGUAACGCGUAAGUAAUCUACCCUGGUGUCUGGGAUAACCCACCGAAAGGUGUGCUAAUACCGGAUACGCUGAUUUAUCAGGAAAGGUGGCCUCUUCAUGAAAGCUACUGCAGCAGGAGGAGCUUGCGUACCAUUAGCUAGUUGGUAGGGUAAAGGCCUACCAAGGCGACGAUGGUUAGCGGGUCUGAGAGGAUGAUCCGCCACACUGGAACUGAAACACGGACCAGACUCCUACGGGAGGCAGCAGUGAGGAAUAUUGCGCAAUGGGGGAAACCCUGACGCAGCGACGCCGCGUGGAUGAUGAAGGCCUUCGGGUCGUAAAAUCCUGUCAGAUGGGAAGAAGUGUAUAUUACCUAAUACGUGAUAUAUUGACGGUACCAUCAAAG